UGUUAAAUUUUUUAAUUCAUUUGUACUAUUAAAAAUUGACAUAGAUGAUGAAAUAAUCAGACAGUGAUACAUGGAGUGCCAUAUGUACCUCGUGCUGGCAUAUAGAGACCAGUUUUAAACAGUAGAAAUGGAUGAGAUUUUUAACU
rfam:Gossypium raimondii Chr01_contig_9, whole genome shotgun sequence.